UCCCUGGUGGCUCAGAGGGUUAAGGGCCCAGUAUUGUCACUGCUGAAGUGCAGGUUCGAUCCCUGGCCCAGGAA
rnacentral:tRNA from 1 species